AGCGAACGCUGGCGGCAGGCUUAACACAUGCAAGUCGAGCGGGCGUAGCAAUACGUCAGCGGCAGACGGGUGAGUAACGCGUGGGAACGUACCUUUUGGUUCGGAACAACACAGGGAAACUUGUGCUAAUACCGGAUAAGCCCUUACGGGGAAAGAUUUAUCGCCGAAAGAUCGGCCCGCGUCUGAUUAGCUAGUUGGUGAGGUAACGGCUCACCAAGGCGACGAUCAGUAGCUGGUCUGAGAGGAUGAUCAGCCACAUUGGGACUGAGACACGGCCCAAACUCCUACGGGAGGCAGCAGUGGGGAAUAUUGGACAAUGGGCGCAAGCCUGAUCCAGCCAUGCCGCGUGAGUGAUGAAGGCCCUAGGGUUGUAAAGCUCUUUUGUGCGGGAAGAUAAUACGGU
rnacentral:rRNA from 1 species